GUUAAGAAUCUUGCGCAAUGGGCGAAAGCCUGACGCAGCGACGCCGCGUGGACGAUAAAGGCCUUCGGGUUGUAAAGUCCAAUAAGCAGAGAAGAAUAAAUUCAGUAUAAUACACUGAAUGAUGACGGUAUCUGUCUAAAGCCCCGGCUAACUACGUGCCAGCAGCCGCGGUAAUACGUAUGGGGCGAGCGUUGUUCGGAAUUAUUGGGCGUAAAGGGUGUCUAGGCGGGGGAUUAAGUUAGUUGUGAAAUCCAGAGGCUCAACCUCUGAAUUGCUUCUAAAACUGAUUCUCUUGAGUUAGGGAGAGGAGAGCGGAAUUCCAGGUGUAGCGGUGAAAUGCGUAGAUAUCUGGAAGAACACCAGUGGCGAAGGCGGCUCUCUGGCCUAUGACUGACGCUGAAGCACGAAAGCGUGGGGAGCGAACGGGAUUAGAAACCCUGGUAGUCC
rnacentral:rRNA from 1 species